GCGGAGCGCUGGAUCUUGGGCUGUGUCCCUUGGCACCCUGGGCUCUGGGGCCUGCGCCGCUGGGAUCACGCACCCGGGGCAGCGCAGCUUCCU
rnacentral:pre_miRNA from 1 species